GAUCAGAUUGUCCAACUCAGAAUUGAUAUGGUGUCCUAUAAGGCCUAACUAAGCCUACCUCGAUCGAGUUAAGAAGCAUAAUGAAAAGAUCAGAAGAACUCCAAGGUUACAUAUCACCUGAAGUAAAGUCUUGCAGCUCGAGUAGACAUCUUUUCAGCUUAACAGUCAUCCAAAGCCGACUAGAACCCUGUCAACUCGAACAAUGUCUAGAGAUGGGAGAAAAAGCUAGCACCCAUUCACUCGGACGGUUAUAGCACGUUCCGCUAUAGUAAUUGCACGAUCUUAGGUUGUUACAGCAUGAUCUCAAGCGGUUACACCAGUCGGAUCUCAUGCAACUACAACAGAAUCUUAGGCAGUUAUAGCAUGACCCUAGGCUGUUAGAGUGUAAUCUUCAGAGAUUCUAUAUCCCUCAGCUAUAAAUAAACUAAACACCCCCAUCAAAAGUAAUCAGUAAAUCGUACUUAGAACGAUACUCUAUCUUUUUUAUUCCUCCUUCAUUC
rnacentral:lncRNA from 1 species